AGAAACACUGGCUGUACACAAUGACCCGAUUUAAACUCAGUCCAAAAAUCCAUGUGUUAUUAGAAAGUUUAUAGAGAUGAUAGCAGACUAUGACAAUACUAGCGGACAUUAAAAAUGAAUAGUGGAUAUUUUCCGGAACCUGUUUUUUCUAACAUGUAAAAUGGAUAAUUCACGGAAGUGUUUGAAUUUAAUCAGUUACUUUUUGCCAGAAUUCUUGGAAGUACAGUAUGUUUACACCUUCAAAGCUGUUUAUUUGUUUGGAGAUGUUCCUGAUUAUUAUCUGGAGGAGAAGAGGAAGAAGAAGUAUAUAAAGGUUUGUCUUCCGUCAACUAAGAUUAACACGAAGAGCGCAACUCUACGGAUCGAGGGAUUGUGAGUUCGGUCCACGGGCGAGGCGUUUGUUCUCCGUGAUUACUGAUAAAAGAUAUUGUGUCUGAAAUCAUUCGUCCUCAACCUCUGAUUCAUGUGGGGAAGUUGGCGUUCGUGCUGGUACAUAAUCCAGGAAAUACUGUCGAGAAUCAGCGAUAAACCUAUAGCUAACUAACAAAUUAAGAUUAACAAUGACAACAUCUUUCUUCAGUCUGUGAAUUGUGACGGAUUUGCUUUACCGCAAAAUGUUUUAACAGCAUACCUGUCGCCAGGAAGAAUGCUACAAUUAUUUCCCUUUUCGUGUUAUUUUAUUCUUGCUAAAUUUACCUGUAUCAUUGUUAAACAUUAUACAUAUAGAUCUGUAACGAAGGUAUUGUAAAUUUUCACGAGAUAAAGAUGGUGUACAUCGUGCAACAUCUUAUGUUUAACUAUAGUAUAAUAUCGUAACUCAA